rnacentral:rRNA from 1 species
UGGGGAAUUUUGGACAAUGGGGGAAACCCUGAUCCAGCCAUCCCGCGUGUGCGAUGAAGGCCUUCGGGUUGUAAAGCACUUUUGGCAGGAAAGAAACGUCGCGGGCUAAUACCCCGCGAAACUGACGGUACCUGCAGAAUAAGCACCGGCUAACUACGUGCCAGCAGCCGCGGUAAUACGUAGGGUGCAAGCGUUAAUCGGAAUUACUGGGCGUAAAGCGUGCGCAGGCGGUUCGGAAAGAAAGAUGUGAAAUCCCAGAGCUUAACUUUGGAACUGCAUUUUUAACUACCGGGCUAGAGUGUGUCAGAGGGAGGUGGAAUUCCGCGUGUAGCAGUGAAAUGCGUAGAUAUGCGGAGGAACACCGAUGGCGAAGGCAGCCUCCUGGGAUAACACUGACGCUCAUGCACGAAAGCGUGGGGAGCAAACAGGAUUAGAUACCCUGGUAGUCCACGCCCUAAACGAUGUCAACUAGCUGUUGGGGCCUUCGGGCCUUGGUAGCGCAGCUAACGCGUGAAGUUGACCGCCUGGGGAGUACGGUCGCAAGAUUAAAACUCAAAGGAAUUGG